UACCACAUCCAAGGAAGGCAGCAGGCGCGCAAAUUACCCACUCCCGGCACGGGGAGGUAGUGACGAAAAAUAACGAUACGGGACUCAUCCGAGGCCCCGUAAUCGGAAUGAGUACACUCUAAACCCUUUAACGAGGAUCAAUUGGAGGGCAAGUCUGGUGCCAGCAGCCGCGGUAAUUCCAGCUCCAAUAGCGUAUAUUAAAGUUGUUGCGGUUAAAAAGCUCGUAGUCGAAUCUGUGUCCCGCGCCGCCGGUUCAUCGCUCGCGGUGUUUAACUGGCGUGUCCGCGGGACGUCCUGCCGGUGGGCUUGGCCUUUCGGGGCCGCCCAGCUUAAAAUCCCACCGCGGUGCUCUUCACUGAGUGUCGAGGUGGGCCGGCACGUUUACUUUGAACAAAUUAGAGUGCUUAAAGCAGGCUAAAACUUCGCCUGAAUACUGUGUGCAUGGAAUAAUGGAAUAGGACCUCGGUUCUAUUUUGUUGGUUUUCGGAACCCCGAGGUAAUGAUUAAUAGGAACGGAUGGGGGCAUUCGUAUUGCGACGUUAGAGGUGAAAUUCUUGGAUCGUCGCAAGACGGACAGAAGCGAAAGCAUUUGCCAAAAACGCUUUCAUUGAUCAAGAACGAAAGUUAGAGGUUCGAAGGCGAUCAGAUACCGCCCUAGUUCUAACCAUAAACGAUGCCAGCUAGCGAUCCGCCGACGUUCCUCCGAUGACUCGGCGGGCAGCUUCCGGGAAACCAAAGCUUUUGGGUUCCGGGGGAAGUAUGGUUGCAAAGCUGAAACUUAAAGGAAUUGACGGAAGGGCACCACCAGGAGUGGAGCCUGCGGCUUAAUUUGACUCAACACGGGAAACCUCACCAGGCCCGGACACCGGAAGGAUUGACAGAUUGAGAGCUCUUUCUUGAUUCGGUGGGUGGUGGUGCAUGGCCGUUCUUAGUUGGUGGAGCGAUUUGUCUGGUUAAUUCCGAUAACGAACGAGACUCUAGCCUGCUAACUAGGCGUAUUUUCGACAUCUCAAAGGCCCGCCGGCCCGUCGCUCUGCGUCGCGGUCGCGCGCGGUUUUUACUGUCGGCGUACAAUCAAUUCUUCUUAGAGGGACAGGCGGCUUCUAGCCGCACGAGAUUGAGCAAUAACAGGUCUGUGAUGCCCUUAGAUGUUCUGGGCCGCACGCGCGCUACACUGAAGGAAUCAGCGUGUCCUCCCUGGCCGAGAGGCCCGGGUAACCCGCUGAACCUCCUUCGUGCUAGGGAUUGGGGCUUGCAAUUGUUCCCCAUGAACGAGGAAUUCCCAGUAAGCGCGAGUCAUAAGCUCGCGUUGAUUACGUCCCUGCCCUUUGUACACACCGCCCGUCGCUACUACCGAUUGAAUGAUUUAGUGAGGUCUUCGGACCGGUACGCGGUGGCGCUCCGGCGUCGCCGAUGUUGCUGGGAAGAUGACCAAA
rnacentral:rRNA from 1 species